CCUCCAGCUGUUUUGGGACUACAAUUCCUGUCAUCCCUGACCACUGGUCCUGUUAGCUAGGGAUGAUGGGAGUUGUAGUCCAAAAACAGCUGGAGG